GUAAAAGUCCCAUUAAAAUCUUUCACACCAUGUCAUCGUAACAUCUCUGGCCAUAUAGCCUAUCUUCAAACAAUCUCACACCAAUGAGACUAAAAAGUGUGAGUGUAUGCAAUGGUUCCUUCAGAAGCUGACAGUAUCAAGCAAAGGAAUGGCCCUGCACAGAAUUUUAUGUGCCCAUGGUAUGCACUCCAAGACCUUGAAAGUGUACUCCUGCCACACCUAAAUGGGCUGUGCGUGGCACCUCAGGAAUCACCACCUCCCGACCCAGGCGCACCACGUCUGUGCCCAUCCAGUAAUCCCAGUCAACAGCCUGUGGAGUGAUAAAGAGCAGCGUCUGGACUCUGGUAAUCUAGGGUAGAUGGAUGCUUCACCUCACCUGGAUAUGCGUGGGGUCCAAUCACCUUCAGGCUGGUGAAUCUGGUAUUUGAGACCAAGAGCUGGCAAAGUCACCUCCAAGUGCAAAGGUGGCAGGACUUUUCCAUUGGCAGCACCCAUAAUGUUUGUGACCAAGCCUUCACCCAGCGUUGAGCCCCCAACACGCCAAGCCCAGGCCCACAUGUCUCGUGGCCUGAGG